rnacentral:rRNA from 1 species
UACGUAGGGGGCGAGCGUUGUUCGGAAUUACUGGGCGUAAAGCGCACGUAGGCGGCUUUCUAAGUCGGGGGUGAAAUCCUGGAGCUCAACUCCAGAACUGCCUCGAUACUGGAGAGCUCGAGUCCGGGAGAGGUGAGUGGAACUGCGAGUGUAGCGGUGAAAUGCGCAGAUAUCAGGAGGAACACCGGUGGCGAAGGCGGGUCUCUGGGCCAUAACUGACGCUGAGGAGCGAAAGCGUGGGGGAGCGAACAGG